rnacentral:rRNA from 1 species
GACGAACGCUGGCGGCGUGCCUAAUACAUGCAAGUAGAACGCUGAAGAGAGGAGCUUGCUCUUCUUGGAUGAGUUGCGAGCGGGUGAGUAACGCGUAGGUAACCUGCCUUGUAGCGGGGGAUAACUAUUGGAAACGAUAGCUAAUACCGCAUAACAAUGGAUGACACAUGUCAUUUAUUUGAAAGGGGCAAUUGCUCCACUACAAGAUGGACCUGCGUUGUAUUAGCUAGUAGGUGAGGUAAUGGCUCACCUAGGCGACGAUACAUAGCCGACCUGAGAGGGUGAUCGGCCACACUGGGACUGAGACACGGCCCAGACUCCUACGGGAGGCAGCAGUAGGGAAUCUUCGGCAAUAGGGGCAACCCUGACCGAGCAACGCCGCGUGAGUGAAGAAGGUUUUCGGAUCGUAAAGCUCUGUUGUAAGUCAAGAACGGGUGUGAGAGUGGAAAGUUCACACUGUGACGGUAGCUUACCAGAAAGGGACGGCUAACUACGUG